GGAGAGGUGGCUGAGCGGCUGAAGGCGCGGCAUUGGAAAUGCCGUGUACGGGUUACACCGUACCGCGGGUUCGAAUCCCGCCCUCUCCG
rnacentral:tRNA from 1 species